ACGCGAUUAGUGUAGUGGUUAUCAUGAUCGUUUCCCAUUAACUGUGAUUACGAUCGACGGGAGUUCGAUUCCCCCAUCGCGUA